UACGGAGGGUGCAAACGUUGCUCGGAAUCAUUGGGCGUAAAGCGCACGUAGGCGGCCGAUUAAGUCGGAUGUGAAAGCCCCGGGCUCAACCCGGGAAGUGCAUACGAAACUGGUCGGCUUGAAUAUGGAAGAGGGUCGCGGAAUUCCCGGUGUAGAGGUGAAAUUCGUAGAUAUCGGGAGGAACACCAGUGGCGAAGGCGGCGACCUGGGCCAAUAUUGACGCUGAGGAGCGAAAGCGUGGGGAGCGAACAGG
rnacentral:rRNA from 1 species